rnacentral:rRNA from 1 species
CGCGAAUGGCUCAUUACAACAGCUAACAAAUCUACUUGAUCUUGACACAAUCCUACUUGGAUAACUGUGGUAAUUCUAGAGCUAAUACAUGCAUUAAAGCUCUGACCUUCGGGGAAGAGUGCAUUUAUUAGAACAAAACCAAGCGGCUUCGGCUGUCUUCGGUUGACUCAUAGUAACUGAGCUGAUCGCAUGGUCUUGCACCGGCGACGUGUCUUUCGAGUAUCUGCCGUAUCAACUUUCGAUGGUAGUGUAUCUGACUACCAUGGUGAUCACGCGUAACGGAGAAUAAGGGUUCGACUCCGGAGAGUUCGCCUGAGAAAUCGCGAACACAUCUAAGGAAGGCAGCAGGCGUGAAAAUUACCCACUCUCAGCACGAGGAGGUAGUGACGAAAAAUAACGAGACCGUUCUCUUAUGAGGCCGGUCAUCGGAAUGGGUACAAUUUAAACCCUUUAACGAGUAUCUAUGAGAGGGCAAGUCUGGUGCCAGCAGCCGCGGUAAUUCCAGCU